AGAGUUUGAUCCUGGCUCAGAAUGAACGCUGGCGGCGUGCUUUACACAUGCAAGUCGAGCGAGGCGGCCCGCAAGGGCCAGUCGAGCGGCGAACGGGUGAGUAACACGUGGAUCAUCUGCCCAGAGGUGGGGGAUAACCCGGGGAAACUCGGGCUAAUACCGCAUAUGACCGGAAGGUCAAAGGGGGGUCGCAAGAUCUCUCGCCAUUGGAGGAGUCCGCGUCCGAUUAGCUAGUUGGUAGGGUAAUGGCCUACCAAGGCGACGAUCGGUAGCCGGCCUGAGAGGGUGAUCGGCCACACUGGAACUGAGACACGGUCCAGACUCCUACGGGAGGCAGCAGUGGGGAAUUUUGCGCAAUGGGCUAACGCCUGACGCAGCAACGCCGCGUGGAGGAUGAAGGUCUUUGGAUUGUAAACUCCUGUCAGCAGGGAAAAAGCGACCUGACCUCAUACGUCAGGGAGUUGAUUGUACCUGCAGAGGAAGCCCCGGCUAACUCUGUGCCAGCAGCCGCGGUAAUACAGAGGGGGCAAGCGUUAUUCGGAAUUAUUGGGCGUAAAGGGCGCGUAGGCGGCCAGUCAAGUGGAAGGUGAAAUCCCUCGGCUUAACCGAGGAACUGCCUUCCAGACUGUUUGGCUUGAGACCAGGAGAGGUGAGUGGAAUUCCCAGUGUAGCGGUGAAAUGCGUAGAUAUUGGGAGGAACACCAGUGGCGAAGGCGGCUCACUGGACUGGUACUGACGCUGAGGCGCGAAAGCGUGGGGAGCAAACGGGAUUAGAUACCCCGGUAGUCCACGCCGUAAACGAUGAGUGCUUGGUGUAGCGGGUAUCGACCCCUGCUGUGCCGAAGUCAACACAUUAAGCACUCCGCCUGGGGAGUACGGUCGCAAGGCUGAAACUCAAAGGAAUUGACGGGGGCCCGCACAAGCGGUGGAGCAUGU
rnacentral:rRNA from 1 species